CUGUUUAUCUACAUGGCUGGUCUAGUAUAGUCAAUGACAACACAAGCUUCCCCAUUGCCUCAACAAUAUGCCUAAUUCUUGGAUAGCCUGUUGAGUCCAUCAAUAAGGAUGCCAG
rnacentral:sRNA from 1 species